rnacentral:misc_RNA from 1 species
GGACUACUGGGGUUUCUAAUCCCUUUCGCUCCCCUAGCCUUCGAGCCUCAGCGUCAGCAAAUGUCCAGUAGCUCGCUUUCGCCACGAGUGUUCCUAUCGAUAUCUACGCAUUUCACUGCUACACCGAUAAUUCCAGCUACCCCUCCAUUGCUCAAGCACGGCAGUAUCGGAUGCAGUUCCGGGGUUGAGCCCCGGGAUUUCACAUCUGACUUACCGCGCCGCCUACGCUCCCUUUACGCCCAGUGAUUCCGAACAACGCUUGGGACCUUCGUAUUACCGCGGCGGCUGGCAC